GUUUAAUCCCCCAGGCCUUUGUAUCUGACAAAUGACAGCCGAUGGGUGAUGAGGCCAGGGUGGCCUGGGGAUUGACACUGUGAUUUUUAGUGUCAUCAAACAGAUUUCUGGGGGGAAACCUGCUGCCCACCCAGGGCUGGGCUUCAGGGUCCCCUGGGGUGCACUUGACAGAGGUCAUGCGUGUCUAGCAGGUCGGACCCUCCUUGGGAAAGGCAGCGUGGCUGGGAUGGACAGUGGGCCUGCCAGUGAAAUGGCCCCCAGAGGGCAGCAAAGGGUCAGGAAGGAGCGAGGGGCAGUUUGGAGACACCCCCAGCCCCAAUUCUCUGUGUGUGUGUGUGUGUGUGUGUGUGUGUGUGUGUGUAGUUUGCAGACAUGCCCUAGCACAGUGGUUCUCAACCAGGGGUGCAUCUAUCACUGGGGAUACACAGAGAUCUUCCAGGAGGUACCUCAACUCAUCUAGAGAUUUGCCUAAUUUUACAACAGGUGACAUAAAAAGCACCAGUGAAGUCGGUACAAAUGAACAUUUCAUACAGCCAAUGCCUUGUUUAUACUGAUCUAUACACUGUACACGUUACGUUUGCAUUUUUAUGUCUGAGUUUGCAAGCAAGUGUUUUUUAAGUGAGGUGAAAUUUGGGGGUAAGGCAGACACACCAGACUCCUGAAAGGGGGUACAGUGGUCUGGAAAGGCUGAGCGCCACUGCAUCGGUGGCGGCUGUGUGGAGCGAAGGGUUUGCAGACGGUCCCUGGCUCCCAGUGGGUGGGUGGAACUUUGCAGACGGCCCCUGGUUUACAGUAGCUGAGGGUGGGGAGUUUGCAGCCUCUCCCUGGCGGAGGGGCGGUGCUAGUUUCCCUUCCAGCUGAUUCGGGGUUUCGCCGCACAGGGAACAAGGGGGAAGGACAGCGUGCUGACCGCACUGCGAGUGUCGCCCCUGGAGCUGCAGUGAGGAGCGGGUAAGGGGAGCUGCUGGACCAGAGAGCGAGUGAGGGACUCUGGAGCCUGCAGAGCUCCCCGGAGGGCAAAGAGCAGGAUCCCCGGCUAGUGAGUUAUUGAUCCAGAGAAGAACAGCUGCGGCUGGAGCCUCCCCCGGAGCUCUGGGUUCGGGUGCUGCAGGCCGGGUCACGGAGACAGGGAGACUCUGGGGUCUGCAACACGUGCUGUGGGGAUCCCGGCACCGCCCCUCACCUUGAACUUCACCUUCACGGAGCUUUCUGCCUGGCGACCUACAAAGAGCCUGGAUUCCGUCUGCCCCCAACCAGCUCCUAGGCUCGGAGGUGGGGGUUUGGCCCACCCCUAGGCCUGGGCUGGGCGCCAACUCCCCUGGGUUUAUCGCUGUUACACAUCAGGAUAACAACCCGCGUCUCUCUAGACUGUCCGGGGGAGCUGGGCACCCGGCUGCCAUCUGGGCCUGGAAAAUCUCCCCCCGUCUUUUCUCUCUAGAAUUCUUCCUGCCAAUUUCAAUGCCCUGGGCUGGCAGCAGCAGGGCCUGGCCCCGCAGCCGCUGGGGCUCAGCACAAGACAUUCGGCUGCCGGAGCCCACACGACUGUCGGCGUCAGCUCACAGACGGGAGCAGCCUUGGGGGGGCUGUGUGAGAAGGGGAGAGAGCGUUUGCUGCUUCCCUGUCCCAUUACAACGCCGCUGGGUCCUCGCUCCAGGGAGAGUCGGGGGUUCCCGAGCUGCUGGGGGGCUGGACGCCCGGUUCCCAGGUAUCUGAAUGGGAAUCAUGUGUCCCAACAGCGGCCAAGCAAGGACUGAUUUUCCGGGCUUGGCAGCUCCUUCUCCUGGUGGAGCAGAGACCAGUGAGGGGGUAUCAGGGGUCCGCACAGACCCAGAGCUAAAACGUCCUGCUAAACACUGCCCUGGGGCAAUGCCCCAUGUCUGCCCCCUGCACCCCACGUGGUCCCCGCCCUCCGGGGCUCCUCCCGGCCCCCGCCAGCUGCCCUGGCGUCUGGGUCCAGCUGCUCUGCCCCACCAGAAAGCCGGAGCUGGGAGUGCUAAUCCACCCGCUCAGGGCAGGCAGUCCCUGACGCUGCUGGGAACCCAGUGCCCUGGACAACUGAGGGAAGCGCGGUGCCCCGGGACCCCAGCCAAAGCCAGGCAGACAAACCCGGGGAACUGCUUUAUUCCAGCGAGGGGCUGGCAGAGACAGUCUCCACCCGCAGCACCAAGGGCCUGUCUGCACAAUGACCUUCCUCCGCUGUAAGUUACAGGGUCAAUUUAAACUGUUUUCGUAAAACUUA